rnacentral:rRNA from 1 species
AACGUCCCAGUUCGGAUUGCAGUCUGCAACUCGAGUGUAUGAAGCUGGAAUCGCUAGUAACCGCGGAUCAGAAUGCCGCGGUGAAUACGUUCCCGGGUCUUGUACACACCGCCCGUCACACCAUGGGAGUCGGGAAUGCCCGAAGCCGGUGGCCCAAUCGAAAGAAGGGAGCCGUCGAAGGCAGGCCGGAUGACUGGGGUGAAGUCGUAACAAGGUACC